UUCUUACAGUUGAUUGUGCAACCUAAAGCCUCUGCUUUGUUAUAUAUGUGAAAAUAAUUCUACAUUAAUUCAUCUUUGCAAAACUUACUUGUCCAUCUUAUGUUGUUUUUGUGCCUCAGUAUGUUUCCUGCCCAGAACUUCUAGACAGACAUUACAACGUAGACAUGAUGGACAUUGAGCCCUCGAUUCAGCACCCUGUUACCAAAUCUGCCUCGAGAAGAAUUGUCCAUGCCAUAGCAGAACAGAAUGGAGCCUUUGACCCGACCUCUCGCCACUAUUCGCUCUCGCUGUGCCGUGAGCUGGAGCCAUACAGCGCCAUCAUCACAGCUAUCGGGGACAGCAAGACUAGUAAUAUCCGCCACCAUCCCAUCAAUUUUGAGAAUGCCACGCACUAUUACCUGUACAACAGGCUUAUUGAUUUUCUCACCAGCCGGGAGAUUGUGAACCGGCAAAUUCAUGACAUUGUCCAGAGCUGUCAGCCCGGAGAGGUGGUCAUCAGGGACACUCUGUACCGACUUGGUGUUGCACAGAUUAAAACAGAAAUAGAGGACAGUGUGUUGGAGGAAGAUAUUUUGUUGGAACAGUCAGUUUCUGUGUGACAGUUCCCGUUACACUACUUGUAUUCCAUAGAAAUAAAUGGAGACAAUCAACUCUUCCAGCGAGCAUGUUGGUAUUCUACAGCACAUUAAUUUUCAAACCAGAACGUCUAUUAGGAAAAAUCACAAUGCCAGGGUUAGGCUGCGAAGUCCCUGCUUAUCAUAAGAAAUUAAAUAAAUGCGCUUUAUUUGGUUUGAAGCCCAGGUACCAUUAUUCACUCGAGCAGAGCAGAAGUAGAUGGCUUGUUUGAUUCAUGAUGUUGAUUCAUUUAUGCCUGCCGAAAUAAUUUUCAGUGAAAUAAACAAAAAUCUUGUGGGAUUUCUAACCCAGUCCACGCUCACCUCCACUUUACGUUGAGGGCUUCAGAUGAUGAGUAGAGUCCCAAAGCUGCUAUCCAGAUCCUGCUUGAAGUCCUCCAUGAGCUGUUGUUUCUUGCCUACACACUUCUCUUACUACAUCCCAAGGAGUAGAUACUAUCAAUUAAAUCGCUUGGCCACAUACCCUGAGGAGUUAUAGAUAAGAGGAAACACUCUGUUUGCAUUUUACUCCCGGAACCAUGCAUGCACUCCACGUGUUUUACUCCAAAAACCCACAAAUAAAUAAACUUUGUGAACCAGUAACAUCAGAGAAAACCAUGUCAACGUUAUUUUAAAAAAAAAGACAAAAAAGUAAUUAACUGAUCCUAUAUAUGGGGUAACUGAACCUCAACUGAUUAUUUACAAUAAAAUAUGUGGGUUUGAGAUUA